rnacentral:lncRNA from 1 species
UUGUUUGUGAUUUUUGCUACGUUUAAAUGAUUCGCUCAUGUUGUUCUUCUAUCUAUUCCAGCAUGUUAAAAAUCCUAGUUGCCUUUUUGGUCUUAGCCGAGUUGUGAAACUAUUUGUUUAUAUGUGUACUUGUUCUUUGUUUCUGACUCUCUUUUCCUUAUUUGACUUGUUUGAUUUUGAGUUCUUACCAUCUCUUAGACUUGACUACUGUUGAAUCCCUAAAUUUCUUAGAAGUUUUUCUCACUUAUCACUACUGUGAGACCUUUAUUCGUUUCUAAUUUCUCUUACCUGAUACUACGUUCCUCUUCGCUGUUGAUUCUAUGUGAGUACUUGACCUACUUGACUACUAUGCUUAGAAUACUUUUCUUACUACUAAAUCCUAGCUUAUUUUUGCC